AGCGAACGCUGGCGGCAGGCCUAACACAUGCAAGUCGAACGGACCCUUCGGGGUUAGUGGCGGACGGGUGAGUAACACGUGGGAACGUGCCUUUAGGUUCGGAAUAGCUCCUGGAAACGGGUGGUAAUGCCGAAUGUGCCCUUCGGGGGAAAGAUUUAUCGCCUUUAGAGCGGCCCGCGUCUGAUUAGCUAGUUGGUAAGGUAAUGGCUUACCAAGGCGACGAUCAGUAGCUGGUCUGAGAGGAUGAUCAGCCACAUUGGGACUGAGACACGGCCCAAACUCCUACGGGAGGCAGCAGUGGGGAAUCUUGUGCAAUGGGCGAAAGCCUGACGCAGCCAUGCCGCGUGAAUGAUGAAGGUCUUAGGAUUGUAAAAUUCUUUCACCGGGGACGAUAAUGACGGUACCCGGAGAAGAAGCCCCGGCUAACUUCGUGCCAGCCGCCGCCGUAACAC
rnacentral:rRNA from 1 species